AUUCGGAGCGAGUGGCGAACUGGUGAGUAACACGUGGGUAACCUGCCCCGAAGCGGGGGAUAACAUUUGGAAACAAGUGCUAAUACCGCAUAAUUAGUUGGAACCGCAUGGUUCCAACUUGAAAGAUGGCUCUGCUAUCACUUUGGGAUGGACCCGCGCCGUAUUAGUUAGUUGGUGAGAUAAAAGCCCACCAAGACGAUGAUACGUAGCCGACCUGAGAGGGUAAUCGGCCACAUUGGGACUGAGACACGGCCCAGACUCCUACGGGAGGCAGCAGUAGGGAAUCUUCCACAAUGGACGAAAGUCUGAUGGAGCAACGCCGCGUGAGUGAUGAAGGUUUUCGGAUCGUAAAACUCUGUUGUUAAAGAAGAACAAGUGUUAGAGUAACUGUUAACACUUUGACGGUAUUUAACCAGAAAGCCACGGCUAACUACGUGCCAGCAGCCGCGGUAAUACGUAGGUGGCAAGCGUUGUCCGGAUUUAUUGGGCGUAAAGCGAGCGCAGGCGGUUUUGUAAGUCUGCUGUGAAAGCCCUCAGCUCAACUGAGGAAGUGCAGUGGAAACUACAAAACUUGAGUACAGAAGAGGAAAGUGGAACUCCAUGUGUAGCGGUGAAAUGCGUAGAUAUAUGGAAGAACACCAGUGGCGAAGGCGGCUUUCUGGUCUGUUACUGACGCUGAGGCUCGAAAGCAUGGGUAGCGAACAGGAUUAGAUACCCUGGUAGUCCAUGCCGUAAACGAUGAAUACUAGGUGUUGGAGGGUUUCCGCCCUUCAGUGCCGCAGCUAAACGCAUUAAGUAUUCCGCCUGGGGAGUACGACCGCAAGGUUGAAACUCAAAGGAAUUGACGGGGGCCCGCACAAGUGGUGGAGCAUGUGGUUUAAUUCGAUGCUACGCGAAGAACCUUACCAGCUCUUGACAUCUUCUGCCAACCCAAGAGAUUGGGCGUUCCCUUCGGGGACAGAAUGACAGGUGGUGCAUGGUUGUCGUCAGCUCGUGUCGUGAGAUGUUGGGUUAAGUCCCGCAACGAGCGCAACCCUUAUUAUUAGUUGCCAGCAUUUAGUUGGGCACUCUAGUGAGACUGCCGGUGAUAAACCGGAGGAAGGUGGGGACGACGUCAAAUCAUCAUGCCCCUUAUGAGCUGGGCUACACACGUGCUACAAUGGAUGGUACAACGAGUCGCGAAACCGCGAGGUCAAGCUAAUCUCUUAAAGCCAUUCUCAGUUCGGAUUGCAGGCUGCAACUCGCCUGCAUGAAGUUGGAAUCACUAGUAAUCGUGGAUCAGCAUGCCACGGUGAAUACGUUCCCGGGCCUUGUACACACCGCCCGUCACACCAUGAGAGUUUGUAACACCCAA
rnacentral:rRNA from 2 species